rnacentral:misc_RNA from 1 species
CGUCAAAAUGAUGUACCCGCUCGUCCGCGAGCUGGCCGUCGCCGCUGCCCCUCACCGGGUGCCGGUGGCGGUGACGUGCCGGGUGCUCGGGUUGGCCCGCCAGCCCUACUACCGGUGGCUGGCCUCACCGGUCACUGGUUCCGAGCUCGCCGAGGCAUACCGGGCCAACGCCCUGUUCGGUGCGCAUCGCGACGAUCCCGAGUUCGGUCACCGCUUCCUUCUCGACGAGGCCCGGGCCGCCAGUGAGUCGAUGGCUGAGCGGACCGCCUGGCGGAUCUGCAGGGACAACGGCUGGUGGAGUGCCUUCGGCAAGCGCAGGGGCCGUGGGAAGAACGCCAAGGCCGGGCCGCCUGUCCAUGAUGAUCUGGUGCGGCGGGACUUCACCGCAGCCGGGCCGAACCGGUUGUGGCUGACGGACAUCACCGAGCACGCAACCGGCGAGGGCAAGCUGUAUCUGUGCGCGGUCAAGGACGUGUACUCCAGCCGCAUCGUGGGCUAUUCCAUCGACGCCCGGAUGAAGUCCAGCCUCGCGGUGCGAGCCCUUGAAUCCGCGGUGGCCCGUCGCGGCCAGGUCGCCGGAUGCACUGUUCAUUCCGAUCGCGGGUCGCAGGGCGGAUUCAACUGGUCGUCGCAACACCUUGAUCACGGAGGUGCGCGAUGGGGCGAGACGAGAAGAAGAUGC